rnacentral:hammerhead_ribozyme from 1 species
GUCCCGAUGAAGAGUCCCAAACUAGGACGAAACAGCUGUCCAGUAC